UAUUUUGGGACCAGGUAUUUUUCUGGACACUGGAGAUACAGCUGGGAACAGCACAGAGCUUCUCUCUGCGGAGUUUAUAAGAGGAUUACAGACAAAUAAGCCACACCUUCCUAAGCAGAGAAAUUAUAAGAAGAAAAAUAGAGAGGGUGAGAGAAGAGUGCCUGGGAAGGUUUGUGGAGGCUCUUUUCAGAGAGCAGUCUGGAAGAAACCUUCUCUUGGGAGGUCUUAUCUGAGGAGAGACCAAAUAAUUCCCUGGCCUGGCAGCAGCUUCCAGCUCUGAUCCCACUGGAAAUGAGAAAGCUUGGGAUGCAGGGGCCGCAUGGAACAAGACAUCUGUUGGCGAGAACUUCUUUCACACACCUGACGGCGAGAGCUUCUGCAGACAGCACAGGUAACAGGAAGGGUGGGGAUGCUGAAACAGGAACACAGGACUGUGUGGGGCUCCCCCAGGAAGAGCCCUUCUGGAGUCCUUCUGCCUCCCCCCGCUACUUAGUGAGUUUUCCUCACGGCGCCCAGGCACCCACAUGUCCAGGAUGCCUGUCAGUACUCAAGGCAGAAAUGGGAGGGAUGGUGCCAAUCAC
rnacentral:lncRNA from 13 species